rnacentral:rRNA from 1 species
CUCUGGGACCAUACCACCCUGAAUGCACCCAAUCUCGUCUGAUCUCGGAAGCUAAGCAGGAUCGGCCCUGGUUAGUGCUUGGAUGGGAAAUUUUAAAAA